AAGAAAGCUUGCUUUCUUUGCUGGCGACCGGCGCACGGGUGAGUAACACGUAUCCAACCUACCCUUUACUCGGGGAUAGCCUUUCGAAAGAAAGAUUAAUACCCGAUAGCAUAAUGAUUCCGCAUGGUUUCAUUACUAAAGGAUUCCGGUAAAGGAUGGGGAUGCGUUCCAUUAGGUUGUUGGUGGGGUAACGGCCCACCAAGCCUUCGAUGGAUAGGGGUUCUGAGAGGAAGGUCCCCCACAUUGGAACUGAGACACGGUCCAAACUCCUACGGGAGGCAGCAUG
rnacentral:rRNA from 1 species